rnacentral:rRNA from 1 species
GAUGAACGCUGGCGGCGUGCUUAAUACAUGCAAGUCGAACGAAGCGCCUCUCCCGAAGAUAGACCCAGCUUGCGGGGGAUUGAUUCACCUGAGGUGACUGAGUGGCGGACGGGUGAGUAACGCGUGGGUAACCUGCCUUAUACAGGGGGAUAACAGUUGGAAACGACUGCUAAUACCGCAUAAGCGCACCGUACCGCAUGGUACAGUGUGAAAAACUCCGGUGGAAUAAGAGGGACCCGCGUCUGAUUAGCUAGUUGGUGAGGUAACGGCUGACCAAGGCAACGAUCAGUAGCCGACUUGAGAGAGUAAUCGGCCACAUUGGGACUGAGACACGGCCCAAACACCUACGGGAGGCAGCAGUAGGGAAUAUUGCACAAUGGGGGAAACCCUGAUGAAGCGACGCCGCGUGAAGGAUGAAGUAUUUCGGUAUGUAAUCUUCUCUCAGCAAGGAAGAAAAUGACGGUACUUGACUAAGAAGCCCCGGCUAAAUACGUGCCAGCCGCCGCGGUAA